UGGCCACAAGUCAAAUAAAUGUGUGCCGCAGAAGUGAGGGAACAAAACGCGAAGAAUAAGUGCAUAAAAACAUCGGACACGUCCGCUUGUUCGAAUAACUUUUGUUUUUGUUACAUUGAUUUUGUAACAUAUUGAUCAAGCACUCAAAUAGAGUUGGUUCCUAUAUAGCUGGAAAUAUACCGUUAAUCGUGAUGCUGUCGGGGGAAAAACAAAAAAAUGUGUCUAUGUUUGGUGCUAGGGAACGACCCUUACAGUCAUAAUAUCAGAAGGAAUUCGUUCAUUAUACGAUGGAAUCUUGGACUUAAAUACGUGGGCACCUGUACUUCCCUAACACCAAAUACAGCGCUGAUGAGCAUUCAUCCACAAUUGGGCUCUACCUAGUGCUGGGGUUUGUCUCCAUGAUUGUUGUCGAUCAGAUGUCAUCGCGGCGCAAGGAAGGAUGAUGCGUAAAUUAACAGACACAAUCUGGUAAACUACAGUUCCCGCACAACUGUUAACAGAAUUGUAGCUUUUUUACGCGAAGCAAUUCGGAAGAUAUGGAAAUAAUAUAAAAUAUUAAUAAUUAGGUAACUUGAUGGGAAAUAAAUCUAUAACAUUUAAACAA